AACGAACGCUGGCGGCAUGCCUAACACAUGCAAGUCGAACGAGACCUUCGGGUCUAGUGGCGCACGGGUGCGUAACGCGUGGGAACCUGCCCUUAGGUUCGGAAUAACUCCCCGAAAGGGGUGCUAAUACCGGAUAAUGUCUUCGGACCAAAGAUUUAUCGCCUUUGGAUGGGCCCGCGUUGGAUUAGCUAGUUGGUAGGGUAAAAGCCUACCAAGGCGACGAUCCAUAGCUGGUCUGAGAGGAUGAUCAGCCACACUGGGACUGAGACACGGCCCAGAAUCCUACGGGAGGCAGCAGUGGGGAAUAUUGGACAAGGGGCGAAAGCCUGAUCCAGCAAUGCCGCGUGAGUGAUGAAGGCCUUAGGGUUGUAAAGCUCUUUUACCCGGGAUGAUAAUGACAGUACCGGGAGAAUAAGCUCCGGCUAACUCCGUG
rnacentral:rRNA from 1 species